rnacentral:rRNA from 1 species
CCUACGGGUGGCAGCAGUGAGGAAUAUUGGUCAAUGGGCGCGAGUCUGAACCAGCCAAGUAGCGUGAAGGAUGACUGCCCUACGGGUUGUAAACUUCUUUUAUCAAGGAAUAAAGUGAGGCACGUGUGCAAUUUUGUAUGUACCUUAUGAAUAAGGAUCGGCUAAAUCCGUGCCAGCAGCCGCGGUAAUACGGAGGAUCCGAGCGUUAUCCGGAUUUAUUGGGUUUAAAGGGAGCGUAGAUGGGUUGUUAAGUCAUUUGUGAAAGUUUGCGGCUCAACCGUAAAAUUGCAGUUGAAACUGGCAGUCUUGAGUACAGUAGAGGUGGGCGGAAUGCGUGGUGUAGCGGUGAAAUGCUUAGAUAUCACGAAGAACUCCGAUUGCGAAGGCAGUUUACUAAACUGCAACUGAUAUUGAUGCUCGAAAGUGUGGGUAUCAAACAGGAUUAGAUACCCUGGUAGUC